ensembl:lncRNA HERC2P3 HERC2 pseudogene 3
UGUUUUGUGGAUGGCAAAGACUUAUUCCUGAGGGAAUCGAUAUAGGGUAAAAUGGAACCUCUUACUGAUUGUUUAAAGGAUGUUGAUUUGAUCCCGCCUUUUAAUCGGAUGCUGCUGGAAGUCACCUUUGGCAAGCUGUACGCUUGGGCUGUUCAGAACAUUCGAAAUGUUUUGGUGGAUGCCAGUGCCAAAUUUAAAGAGCUUGAAAUGUCAGUGGGUGCCAAUGCUCACUAGGUAUCCAGCCGGUUCCCCUGCAAACCAUCACCAAUGAGAACCCAUCGGGACCGAGCUUGGGGACCAUCCCGCAAGCCCACUUCCUCCUGGUGAUGCUCAGCAUGCUCACCCUGCAGCACAGCGCAAACAACCUUGACCUCCUGCUCAAUUCCGGCACGCUGGCCCUCGCUCAGACGGCACUGCGCCUGAUUGGCCCCAGUUGUGACAGCGUUGAGGAAGAUAUGAAUGCUUCUGCUCAAGGUGCUUCUGCCACAGUUUUGGAAGAAACAAGGAAGGAAACGGCUCCUGUGCAGCUCCCUGUUUCAGGGCCAGAACUGGCUGCCAUGAUGAAGAUUGGAACAAGGGUCAUGAGAGGUGUGGACUGGAAAUGGGGCGAUCAGGAUAGGCCUCCUCCAGGCCUAGGCCGAGUGAUUGGUGAGCUGGGAGAGGACGGGUGGAUAAGAGUCCAGUGGGACACAGGCAGCACCAACUCCUACAGGAUGGGGAAAGAAGGAAAUUACGACCUCAAGCUGGCAGAGCUGCCAGCCCCUGCACAGCCCUCAGCAGA